rnacentral:tRNA from 1 species
GCGGAUGUAGCUCAACAGGCAGAGCUCGGCCACGUUUGUGGCCAGGACACGGGUUCGAGACCCGUCAUUCGCUCCA